GAUCAAAUAAGAUCAUGAGACUUUGUAAACCAAGUCCGACAGUAAUAUUUCCUGCAGAAGUUCUCUGUGUUUUUCAGAUCACUGCCUGGCACUUUUCAAAAAUGCCCCAAUUCAAGGAAAGUUCCAAGGGCCUAGCAUUUACCCUCCCAGGUCAACUGGGAAGAAGGAAGAGACGGAAAGAAGAGAAAAGAACACACAACCUCCAAAUAACAGCACGGUGCUUCUGGGCCCAAGUAAAUGGAAGCAGAGCUGGUCAAGGCUGGAGUGCCAAUGGAGUGGGAGCAGCCAGGCCUGAGGGUGGCUGAGCCAGAGCUGCUGCCCCUGCUAAGGUCUAUUACUCACUUAGCCACGCCGCAAGGCUUUUCCCCCAGGCAGCUCAUCCCCCUGCCUCUCUCUGAGUAAUACACACACGAGGCGCGGAGCCAUCACUUACACAAAUAGCCAUGAGCGCCUUCAGACCAGUGUUCGGCUACUAAGAAGGCAGACGCCCUCGAGAGGCCAGAGGGAAAGUGCCUGCUCAAGGGCUGUAGGCACCUCUUCAACUGGCCUCACAGGUGCUUUCUCUGCAGGGCAAAGUGCUGGUCACAAUGGGGGCAAGGGCUGCCCGCUUGUGUCCCAGGGAAGGGGACGUGCACUUUGCCAGUGCUAAGCAAGAGGCCUUCUCUGGAGCAUGGGAAGUGGUGGGUCCAACCCUGGUGCUGGGGCCAGGGCGAGUGGGCGGCUUUGAGGGAGGGAACGUGCCGCGAGCAAUGCCUUCUCUACUCUCCUGCUCCUUCAGGUAGACCUGGCAACAACCUACGAGAGAGGAGGUGGGGCACAGCCCGCUCCCCGGUCCCACGCAAACAUCACCUACUCAGAUUUACUGAAGACCCCUGCAAAGAAACGCAUAAGCUGGAAAGAUGGUGCAGGCCGCUAAAAUACCAUAUCCUCACAGCUACUGUUCCAAACUGAUGACGUGCACAUACUCUCUCUCAGCAUCCAUAUGGCAAAUCUCAAGAAAGAUAAUACACAUACACACGACUUCAGCGGCUGAUAGGAGAUACCGGCAAUUCUGUCAUGGAGGAACGAGUGCUGCACGUGAUGCGGAAGCAGCUAUAUCAAAAACCGCCCUUGCACACUGCCCCCAAAUCACCCGUCCAGAGCCGGAAAAGCCCAUGUCAUGAGAAAUCGUUUCCCCAGGAAUCAUCAAAGAAAGCAGGCAUAUAAACAGCAACAUGGUUUACCGAAAGUGACACUGGUCAGAGCCAAAAAUUCUUGCUGAAAUGGAAAGAUCUCAGUUCAAAAGAAUACUGCUAUUGAAACUCGAGGGCUGAGCUCUGGAUCAACCACCCUUCAGAAUUCUUCACCCACACCCAGAAGCUAAUGAUUUCCAGAGAUGGCCACAGUAAAGAAUUCACAGGAACAUGGGUCACUGUGUCAAGGAUCAUGUCAAGAAGAGAAGGUCACCAGUUCCAAAUAUUUCAGAGGUGAAAAGGUCAUUCUUAUAAAUACCGUAUCCUCCACAUUCAGCACACCAUGGUACGUGCUUUGUCAUAAUUUGGUGGGCCACCAGCUGUCACCAGUGGAGCCUCCAACCAAAUGAAAUUCCUCAGUCUUCACCAUCCAGAUGUCACUCCUACAUCUUGGUUGACAGCUUCUUCCAGAAAUGGACACGGGUCAGGUUUUUG
rnacentral:lncRNA from 1 species